rnacentral:tRNA from 1 species
GAGGUUGUGGCUCAGAGGUAGAGUGCUCGCCUGGCAUGCGUGGGGCACUGGGUUCGAUUCUCAGCACCACA